rnacentral:rRNA from 1 species
UACGGGGGUCCCAAGCGUUGUUCGGAUUCACUGGGCGUAAAGGGUGCGUAGGUGGCCAUGUAAGUUUGAUGUGAAAGCUCCGGGCUCAACCCGGAAAAGGCAUUGAAUACUGCGUGGCUUGAGGAUCGGAGGGGAGAAUGGAAUUCUCGGUGUAGCAGUGAAAUGCGUAGAUAUCGAGAGGAACACCAAUGGCGAAGGCA